UAAGGAAGCUCGUCCCUGUCUCGAACAGCACCUUCGCCAAGGGCCCCAUCUCGCAACCAGUCGCCAGCAUGGCCCGCCGUCCGUCCCGCUGCUACCGGUUCUGCAAGAACAAGCCGUACCCGAAGUCGCGCUUCUGCCGUGGUGUGCCGGAUCCGAAGAUCCGCAACUUCGACAUUGGCCGACGUCGCGCCACCGUCGAUGAGUUCCCGGUGUGCAUCCACGUCGUGUCCCGCGAGCUGGAGCAGAUCGCGUCCGAGGCGCUGGAGGCUGCCCGCAUUCAGGCCAACAAGUACAUGGUGAAGCGUGCCAACAAGGACGUGUUUCACAUGCGCACCCGCGCCCACCCCUUCCAUGUGCUGCGCAUCAACAAGAUGCUCUCGUGCGCCGGCGCCGAUCGUCUGCAGACCGGCAUGCGUGGUGCCUUCGGUAAGCCGAACGGCGUGUGCGCUCGCGUCCGCAUUGGCCAGAUCCUGCUGUCCAUGCGCACCAAGGAGGCGUACGUGCCGCAGGCCUUCGAGGCCCUGCGCCGCGCCAAGAUGAAGUUCCCCGGCCGCCAGAUCAUCGUCAUGUCCAAGUACUGGGGCUUCACCAACAUCCUCCGCACCGAGUACGAGGCUCUGCGCGACGCCGGCAAGCUCGAGCAGCGCGGUACCCACUGCAAGCUGAUCGCCCCCAAGGGCAAGAUCACGAUGCGCAACGUGAUGGCGUAAGCUCUCGCAGCAGCGUGAAACGCGUGGGGAAACGGGUGCGUGCGUGUGUGUGCUACGGCGGCGUCCUCGUGACAUAGGGAGGGAGAGGCCACCAGAGGUGCGUGACUGGAUGGCUUCGCCGGCGUGUGCGCGCAGGCGUGUGUCUGCGUACGCCUCGCCGUACCCAUCGAGUCCCCCCCCCCUCUCUCUCCGUCAGCCGGAUGCGUGUCUGUGGGUUCGCCGCACCGCGCGUACUUCCCUUAUGGUAUGAUGAUUUAUCUUUUCUUUGUUUGUAUGCGUGUGUUUCCAGGGAUUCGAAACCGCGGGUGAUGAUCGAAACGCACGACCGCGAUGGAGAGGACGGGUGGAGCCUCUGCCACCCCCCUCCAUCGUCCGCCGCCGCUAAAGGUAGACCGCCGCAGAUUCUCCGGACCCGAGCAACGCCCCUACGACACCAAAUAACAGGCAUCAACCCAAGGGCACAUUCGCAACACCCCGCGGCAGCAGCGACAGCAAACAGAGAGGGGAAAGGCGGCAUUGGUGCGUGUGGGGAGAAGCCCCCUUUGCCUGCUGCUGCUGCUGCUCGGCUUUCGGCGUAUCCUCCUUCCCACGCCCUCGUCACCCCUUUACUUCACGUCGGCAUGUGGCCGCACACGAUGGACACACACACACACGUGUCGGUGUUUGUGGAGGGCAUGCGCGUGCGUGCGUACGUGUAUUCUGUGCACGUGCGUCCACGUCUUCUGAACCACCUCGUGCCCUUAUCCGCUCUCUCCCCACUUGCUGACUGCACCUCGCCUGUUCCUCCCUUCGUUGUCCCGCGCAACCCACCGCACACCACACGCGCUCCUCUUCUCGAUAUGCGCCUCAGCGGCGAGAACAAAAAAAAAAACAAAGCAGGCACGCACCAACAGCGGAAGCGAGGCGUCGACGAGGAAUACGCUACCAGGACUCGACGCGUUGGUGUCUGUGUGUCUGUGUGGAUUUCGGUACUUCGUAGUCGCUAACAGAAGCUCUGCGUGCGUGCGUGUAGCCCGUGAGUGCUACUCAGCUUCUCGCUCUUCGAACUGGCGCGCCAAGGCACAAGACGCCUUUCUCCGCCGCCGCGCCCCUCCCUCCCCCCUCCUCUCCCAGAACAUUGCCACGCGCAUGCGUACAGCGCGUCCACGGAGAGACACGGCCGUCCGAGUUUUCUCUCUCUCUCUCUCUGCGUCUUCCUUUGCGAAAACGUCUCGCCCUUCACCGCGCGUCGCACUCUCUCCCUCGGCUCGGCACACCACUGCCCCGUGUUAG
rnacentral:misc_RNA from 1 species